GAGUUUGAUCAUGGCUCAGAGCGAACGCUGGCGGCAGGCUUAACACAUGCAAGUCGAACGGACCCUUCGGGUUAGUGGCGGACGGGUGAGUAACACGUGGGAACGUGCCCUUAGGUUCGGAACAACACAGGGAAACUUGUGCUAAUACCGGAUGUGCCCUUCGGGGGAAAGAUUUAUCGCCUUUGGAGCGGCCCGCGUCUGAUUAGCUAGUUGGUGAGGUAAAGGCUCACCAAGGCUACGAUCAGUAGCUGGUCUGAGAGGAUGGCCAGCCACAUUGGGACUGAGACACGGCCCAAACUCCUACGGGAGGCAGCAGUGGGGAAUCUUGCGCAAUGGGCGAAAGCCUGACGCAGCCAUGCCGCGUGGAUGAUGAAGGUCUUAGGAUUGUAAAAUCCUUUCAGCGGGACGAUAAUGACGGUACCCGCAGAAGAAGCCCCGGCUAACUUCGUGCCAGCAGCCGCAGU
rnacentral:rRNA from 1 species